UAGAUACCCUAUUAUUUUGAACGUUAAUUUAUAUUCCAGGUUAGUAAUAGUUAUGCUCUUGAAAAUUAAAGGAUUUGGCGGUAUUUUAGUCUUUUCAGAGGAACCUGUCCCAUAAUUGAUGGUCCACGAUUAUUUGUACUUUUUCUUUUAGUUUGUAUAUCGUCGUAGGUUGAAUAUUUUUUAAGAAUUUAAAUGUUCAUGAUUCUUCACGUGAAGGAGAAAAUCAGAUCAAGGUGUAGCUAAUGGAAAAGUGGAGAUGGGUUACAUUAAAUUUAUUUAAUUGGGGAUUGUUAAUUUAAAAUUAACAUGAAUUAGGAUUUGAUAGUAAUUUUAAUUAUUUUAUUAUGAUGAUUUUGGCUCUAAAAUAUGCACAUAUCGCCCGUCGCU
rnacentral:rRNA from 1 species